UACGUAGGUGGCGAGCGUUGUCCGGAUUUAUUGGGUUUAAAGGGUGCGUAGGCGGCUAUUUAAGUCAGUGGUGAAAUACGGCAGCUUAACUGUCGAGGUGCCAUUGAUACUGGGUAGCUAGAGUACUGAUGAGGUAGGCGGAAUGGACGGUGUAGCGGUGAAAUGCUUAGAGAUCGUCCAGAACACCGAUAGCGAAGGCAGCUUACUAAGGAGUAACUGACGCUGAGGCACGAAAGUGUGGGGAUCAAACAGG
rnacentral:rRNA from 1 species